GGAGAGUUGGCAGAGCGGUAUCGCACUGGCUUGCUAAGUCAUGGUCGGGUUUUGCCCGGGUAAGUUCGAUUCUUACACUCUCCG
rnacentral:tRNA from 1 species